rnacentral:rRNA from 1 species
UUUGACGUCUCNUAGUCGGAUAUUUCUUCUCGGGGACAGAACUGACAGGUGGUGCAGUCUGUCGUCCGCUCGUGUCGAGAUAUGUUGGAUUAACUCCCGCAACGAGCGCCCCCCUUGCCUUUACUUGCCAUUAUUUGGUUGGUCUCUCUAGAGGGACUGCCAGGAAUAACCUGAAGGAAGGGGGGAAUGACAACCAAUCAUCCCGCCCCUUAUGGUUAGGGCUACACACGUGCUAGGAUGGGUGGUACAGAGGGCACCCCACUCGGGAGGGGGAGCUAAUCCCUUAAAGCCUUUCUCAGUUCGGAUUGUAGGCUGAAACUCGCCUACAUGAAGCUGGAGUUACUAGUAAUCGCACAUCAGAAUGCUGCGGUGAAUGCGUUCCCGGUUCUUGCACACACCG